UACAGAGGGUGCAAGCGUUAAUCGGAAUUACUGGGCGUAAAGCGUGCGUAGACGGUAGCGUAAGUCGGGUGUGAAAGCCCCGGGCUCAACCUGGGGAUUGCAUUCGAGACUGCUCUGCUAGGGUGCGGAAGAGGGAAGCGGAAUUUCCGGUGUAGCGGUGAAAUGCGUAGAUAUCGGAAGGAACACCAGUGGCGAAAGCGGCUUCCUGGUCCAGCACCGACGUUCAGGCACGAAAGCGUGGGGAGCAAACAGG
rnacentral:rRNA from 1 species